CCCUCCGAAGUUUCCCUCAGGAUAGCUGGUGCAUUUUAAAAUUAUGUUAAAUAAUCUUAUCUGGUAAAGCGAAUGAUUAGAGGCCUUAGGGUCGAAACGACCUUAACCUAUUCUCAAACUUUAAAUGGGUAAGAACCUCACCUUUCUUGAUAUGAAGGUUGAGGUUAUGAUAUAAUGUGCCCAGUGGGCCACUUUUGGUAAGCAGAACUGGCGCUGUGGGAUGAACCAAACGUAAUGUUACGGUGCCUAAAUUAACAACUCAUGCAGAUACCAUGAAAGGCGUUGGUUGCUUAAAACAGCAGGACGGUGGACAUGGAAGUCGUAAUCCGCUAAGGAGUGUGUAACAACUCACCUGCCGAAGCAACUAGCCCUUAAAAUGGAUGGCGCUUAAGUUGUAUACCUAUACAUUACCGCUAAAGUACAUGAUUUAUAAUACAAUUUCGGUUGUUUUUAUAAAUUUUGAAACUUUAGUGAGUAGGAGGGUACAAUGGUGUGCUUAGAAGUGUUUGGCGUAAGCCUGCAUGGAGCCGCCAUUGGUACAGAUCUUGGUGGUAGUAGCAAAUAAUCGAAUGAGACCUUGGAGGACUGAAGUGGAGAAGGGUUUCGUGUGAACAGUGGUUGAUCACGAGUUAGUCGGUCCUAAGUUCAAGGCGAAAGCCGAAAAUUUUCAAGUUUUAA
rnacentral:rRNA from 1 species